rnacentral:sRNA from 1 species
AUUCGAACCUGCAGCAGGUUCGGGUCGAACGUAGUGAGACAACGGAGCCGCUUGCGGCGACGGCCCGCAGGGCGAGGCGAAGCCGAGUCAUCCUGCGCGACCCACCA